rnacentral:lncRNA from 1 species
CUAAUUACCGAAGGAUUCUUACCGAAGGUUUCUGGGCCUUCGGUAAAAGCUGAUAUACCGAAGGCUUUCGCCCCUCGGUAAUNGGCAGCGAUUUUGUCACGUUAUAUGGCGCUUACCGAGGGCUUAUGCCCUUCGGUAAUGGGCAGCGUUUUUAUCGAAGGAUUUUUGCCCGUCGGUAUAUUCAUUCACUUAAUGAAAUCAAAAUUUGGUUGGGAUACCAGACUUCCAUUUUCCCCAAUUUUUUCCUCAGCGAAAGCUUUCCCCUAACUUUCAGACCCAAUUUUUCUUCAAUCUCCCCGGCCCUUCUUUCUCGACUCAUUACUUCUGAUCAGAGGGUGCUGUCGGAGCAUGAGGAGGUGUUGUCACUAGGUCAGAGGGUGGUGUCGCGG